rnacentral:rRNA from 1 species
UACGAAGGGGGCUAGCGUUGCUCGGAAUCACUGGGCGUAAAGGGUGCGUAGGCGGGUCGUUUAAGUCAGGGGUGAAAUCCGUGGAGCUCAACUCCAGAACUGCCUUUGAUACUGAAGAUCUUGAGUUCGGGAGAGGUGAGUGGAACUGCGAGUGUAGAGGUGAAAUUCGUAGAUAUUAGGAAGAACACCGACGCGAAGGCAGCACUCUGGGCCGGUACUGACGCUGAGGAGCGAAAGCAUGGGGAGCGAACAGGA